GCCAGCAGCCGCGGUAAUUCCAGCUCCAAUAGCGUAUACUAAAGUUGUUGCGGUUAAAAAGCUCGUAGUUGGAUCUUGGAAUGUGUUCAAGCGGGUCAGCUUCUGGCUGUGCGCUGCUUGACGUGUUCUUCUAUUUGGUUUUGGUGCGGUGCGCUUAACUGCGUGUCGCUCCCGGCCGAAACGUUUACCUUGAAAAAAUUAGAGUGUUCAAAGCAGACCUGUUUGAGUCUGAAUAUUCGUGCAUGGAAUAAUGAAAUAUGAAUUCGGUUCUAUUUUGUUGGUUUUCGGAACUCGAGUUAAUGAUCAAGAGGGACAGACGGGGGCAUUCGUACUCUGCCGUUAGAGGUGAAAUUCUUGGAUCGGCGGAAGACGCGCAACUGCGAAAGCAUUUGCCAAGAAUGUUUUCUUUAAUCAAGAACGAUAGUCGGAGGUUCGAAGACGAUCAGAUACCGUCCUAGUUUCGACUGUAAACUAUGCCAGCUAACGAUCAGACAGAGUUCUCUACGACUUGUCUGGCAGUUUCCGGGAAACCAAAGCGUUUGGGUUCCGGGGGAAGUAUGGUUGCAAAGCUGAAACUUAAAGGAAUUGACGGAAGGGCACCACCAGGAGUGGAGCCUGCGGCUUAAUUUGACUCAACACGGGGAAACUCACCCGGCCCGGACACAGUGAGGAUUGACAGAUUGAGAGUUCUUUCUUGAUUCUGUGGGUGGUGGUGCAUGGCCGUUCUUAGUUGGUGGAGCGAUUUGUCUGGUUAAUUCCGAUAACGAACGAGACUCUGGCAUGUCAAAUAGUCGCGGAAGUGCGUAUGCACUUGCCGAAUUGACUUCUUAGAGGGACUAGUGAUUUUAAUUCACACGAGAUUGAGCAAUAACAGGUCUGUGAUGCC
rnacentral:rRNA from 1 species